rnacentral:lncRNA from 1 species
UUUGAUCCUUGGUGCUACCAUAGGACUUCUUCUCUUUGCCCUAUCUCUAAUUCUUACAUCCAUAACCAAAACUCUAUGUUGGGUAGUCAAGCUCUCUCUCGGGAUAACUUUACAGUUCAAGCAAUACUUCCUAUCAGACUUCCUGAUAAGGAAGAAAUCUAUCUGAGAACAUGUCCCUCCACUUUUGUAAGUGAUAAGAUGUUCCUCUCUUUUCUUAAACCAUGUAUUGGCUAUAGAAAGAUCUAAAGCCUCCGAAAACUCCAAGAUGGAUUUACCCUCCCCAUUCAUCUCCCCUAGGCCAAAACCCCCAUGCACC